GGCCUGGCUGGGCGGUCUGCCUAACGGUAUGUACUGUCUGGCUGGGCCUUACCUCUUGGUGAGCCGGCAUGUUCUUCAUUGAGUGUGUCGGGGAACCAGGACUUUUACCUUGAGAAAAUUAGAGUGUUCAAAGCAGGCUUAUGCCUGAAUACAUUAGCAUGGAAUAAUAGAAUAGGACGU
rnacentral:rRNA from 1 species